UACGGAGGGAGCUAGCGUUGUUCGGAAUUACUGGGCGUAAAGCGCACGUAGGCGGAUUUGUCAGUCAGGGGUGAAAUCCCGGGGCUCAACCUCGGAACUGCCUUUGAUACAGCAAGUCUUGAGUUCGAGAGAGGUGGGUGGAAUUCCUAGUGUAGAGGUGAAAUUCGUAGAUAUUAGGAAGAACACCGGUGGCGAAGGCGGCCCACUGGCUCGAUACUGACGCUGAGGUGCGAAAGCGUGGGGAGCAAACAGG
rnacentral:rRNA from 1 species